rnacentral:rRNA from 1 species
AUUGAACGCUGGCGGCAUGCUUUACACAUGCAAGUCGAACGGUAACAGGUUAAGCUGACGAGUGGCGAACGGGUGAGUAAUGCAUCGGAACGUGCCCGGUCGUGGGGGAUAACACUUCGAAAGAAGUGCUAAUACCGCAUACGAUCUAAGGAUGAAAGCGGGGGACCGUAAGGCCUCGCGCGAUUGGAGCGGCCGAUGUCAGACUAGGUAGUUGGCGGGGUAAAGGCUCACCAAGCCGACGAUCUGUAGCGGGUCUGAGAGGACGACCAGCCACACUGGGACUGAGACACGGCCAAGACUCCUACGGGAGGCAGCAGUGGGGAAUUUUGGACAAUGGGCGCAAGCCUGAUCCAGCAAUGCCGCGUGCAGGAAGAAGGCCUUCGGGUUGUAAACUGCUUUUGUACGGAGCGAAAAGGCUCUCUCUAAUACAGGGGGCUGAUGACGGUACCGUAAGAAUAAGCACCGGCUAACUACGUGCCAGCCGCCGCGGUAA